CAGGGGUGGGCAAAGUGUGGCCUAUGGAUGACCACCAAAGCUGUUCUUGUGGCCCUUGGUGGUGCUCCUAAAUGCCACCUAGGGAGCAUUUUGCCAUAUUUUAGACCCAGAAAAGGCCUUUCAAAGAACCAAAAGUAAAUCAAACGUCCACUUGACAACAAUGCAAGUAGAUCUUGCAGUGCUGAUGUUCAUUCAUCUCUGUUCUGUGGCACUGGACAGGGAACUGUCUUCUGCCAUCUUAGCUGUUCUUGGUUGCCUGUCCUGACCAUCCCUUCCCUGUUGCACCAACAUCUUUGCUUUCUCUCUGACCAGGACCAGGAGAAGGCCUUGGACAAGUAUGACGAUGUGGUGACCUCCCUGCAGAAGCGCAGCCAGCAAGUCCUCCCUCUCAGGUACCGCCGGGAGACCCCCCUCAAACCCAUCCCAGUGGAAGCUCUCUGUGACUAUGAAAGUGAUCAGUGCCACCUCUCUCGCGGAGCAACAUACACAUUGCACAAGAAUAAUGGUGACAAGUGGGAGGUAACGGACAGUGCUGGAAAUGUGAUCAAUGCACCGGGCGUCUGCUUCAUGAUUCCCCCUACGGAUCCUGAAUCGCUGACCCUUUCUGAUAACAUUACUGGCCAGCACCAGAGCGUAAAACAGAAGAUAGGUGGCACAAAGAAGCUUCUGCAGCAGAGAUACGAAACGCUGAAGGCUGAUGGCAUUGGAG